rnacentral:rRNA from 1 species
CUUAGCUACUGUUGCUGAAGAGCGGGAGGAUGGGUGAGUAAUGCUUGGGAACAUGCCUUGAGGUGGGGGACAACAGUUGGAAACGACUGCUAAUACCGCAUAAUGUCUACGGACCAAAGGGGGCUUCGGCUCUCGCCUUUAGAUUGGCCCAAGUGGGAUUAGCUAGUUGGUGAGGUAAUGGCUCACCAAGGCGACGAUCCCUAGCUGGUUUGAGAGGAUGAUCAGCCACACUGGGACUGAGACACGGCCCAGACUCCUACGGGAGGCAGCAGUGGGGAAUAUUGCACAAUGGGCGCAAGCCUGAUGCAGCCAUGCCGCGUGUGUGAAGAAGGCCUUCGGGUUGUAAAGCACUUUCAGUCAGGAGGAAAGGUUAGUAGUUAAUACCUGCUAGCUGUGACGUUACUGACAGAAGAAGCACCGGCUAACUCCGUGCCAGCAGCCGCGGUAAUACGGAGGGUGCGAGCGUUAAUCGGAAUUACUGGGCGUAAAGCGUACGCAGGCGGUUUGUUAAGCGAGAUGUGAAAGCCCCGGGCUCAACCUGGGAACUGCAUUUCGAACUGGCAAACUAGAGUGUGAUAGAGGGUGGUAGAAUUUCAGGUGUAGCGGUGAAAUGCGUAGAGAUCUGAAGGAAUACCGAUGGCGAAGGCAGCCACCUGGGUCAACACUGACGCUCAUGUACGAAAGCGUGGGGAGCAAACGGGAUUAGAUACCCCGGUAGUCCACGCCGUAAACGAUGUCUACUAGAAGCUCGGAACCUCGGUUCUGUUUUUCAAAGCUAACGCAUUAAGUAGACCGCCUGGGGAGUACGGCCGCAAGGUUAAAACUCAAAUGAAUUGACGGGGGCCCGCACAAGCGGUGGAGCAUGUGGUUUAAUUCGAUGCAACGCGAAGAACCUUACCUACACUUGACAUA